GACGAACGCUGGCGGCGUGCUUAACACAUGCAAGUCGAACGGAAAGGCCCUGCUUUUGUGGGGUGCUCGAGUGGCGAACGGGUGAGUAACACGUGAGUAACCUGCCCUUGACUUUGGGAUAACUUCAGGAAACUGGGGCUAAUACCGGAUAGGAGCUCCUGCUGCAUGGUGGGGGUUGGAAAGUUUCGGCGGUUGGGGAUGGACUCGCGGCUUAUCAGCUUGUUGGUGGGGUAGUGGCUUACCAAGGCUUUGACGGGUAGCCGGCCUGAGAGGGUGACCGGCCACAUUGGGACUGAGAUACGGCCCAGACUACUACGGGACGCAGCAGUGGGGAAUAUUGCACAAUGGGCGGAAGCCUGAUGCAGCAACGCAGCGUGCGGGAUGACGGCCUUCGGGUUGUACACCGCUUUCGCCUGUGACGAAGCGUGAGUGACGGUAAUGGGUAAAGAAGCACCGGCUAACUACGUG
rnacentral:rRNA from 1 species